rnacentral:snRNA from 1 species
AGUUGAGGUCACACGCUGGUCGAUGAACUCCUAAGUGUAGGUAGUGUGCUAAACGAGCGGCAAG